GAUGAACGCUAGCUACAGGCUUAACACAUGCAAGUCGAGGGGAAACGACAUCGAAAGCUUGCUUUUGAUGGGCGUCGACCGGCGCACGGGUGAGUAACGCGUAUCCAACCUGCCCAUCACUUGGGGAUAACCUUGCGAAAGUAAGACUAAUACCCAAUGAUAUCUCUAGAAGACAUCUGAAAGAGAUUAAAGAUUUAUCGGUGAUGAUGGGGAUGCGUCUGAUUAGCUUGUUGGCGGGGUAACGGCCCACCAAGGCAACGAUCAGUAGGGGUUCUGAGAGGAAGGUCCCCCACAUUGGAACUGAGACACGGUCCAAACUCCUACGGGAGGCAGCAGUGAGGAAUAUUGGUCAAUGGGCGAGAGCCUGAACCAGCCAAGUAGCGUGCAGGAAGACGGCCCUAUGGGUUGUAAACUGCUUUUAUAAGGGAAUAAAGUGAGAGUCGUGACUCUUUUUGUAUGUACCUUAUGAAUAAGGACCGGCUAAUUCCGUG
rnacentral:rRNA from 1 species